ensembl:snRNA U6 U6 spliceosomal RNA
GUGCUCGCUUCAGCAGCACAUAUACUAAAAUUGCAAUGAUACAGAGAAGAUUAGCAUGGCCC